rnacentral:rRNA from 1 species
UGGGGAAUAUUGGACAAUGGGCGCAAGCCUGAUCCAGCCACGCCGCGUGAGUGACGAAGGCCUUCGGGUCGUAAAGCUCUGUGGGGAGGGACGAACCGCCAGUGGUUAAUACCCAUUGGCAUGACGGUACCUCCUUAGCAAGCACCGGCUAACUUCGUGCCAGCAGCCGCAGUAAUACGAAGGGUGCAAACGUUGCUCGGAAUCAUUGGGCGUAAAGCGCACGUAGGCGGCUUCGCAAGUCGGAUGUGAAAUCCCUCGGCUCAACCGAGGACGUGCAUCCGAAACUGCGGAGCUUGAGUAUGGAAGAGGGUCGCGGAAUUCCCGGUGUAGAGGUGAAAUUCGUAGAUAUCGGGAGGAACACCAGUGGCGAAGGCGGCGACCUGGGCCAAUACUGACGCUGAGGUGCGAAAGCGUGGGGAGCAAA